AUUCCAGCUCCAAUAGCGUAUAUUAAAGUUGUUGCGGUUAAAAAGCUCGUAGUUGGAUUUCUGCUUAGGACAGCCGGUCCGCACUUCGUGCGUGUAUCUGGUUUGGCCUGGGCAUCCUCUCGGAAACUGUUCCUGUGCUUGAUUGCAUGGGGCGGAGUUCGGGACUUUUACUUUGAGGAAAUUAGAGUGUUCACGGCAGGCAAUCGCCCUGAAUAUAUUAGCAUGGAAUAAUAAUAUAGGAUCUGAUGCCUAUUUUGUUGGUUUCUAGGUGUUAGAUAAUGAUUAAUAGGGACAAUUGGGGGCAUUCGUAUUGUUGAGUCAGAGGUGGAAUUCUUGGAUUUCAACACGACGAACUACUGCGAAAGCAUUUGCCAAGGAUGUUUUCAUUA
rnacentral:rRNA from 1 species